rnacentral:rRNA from 1 species
CAAUAGCGUAUAUUAAAGUUGUUGCAGUUAAAAAGCUCGUAGUUGGAUUUCUGGUGGGAGCGAUCGGUCUGGCGCUUAGCGCGAGUACUUGCAUCGUCUCCGGCCAUCCUUGGGGAGAGUCUGUCUGGCAUUAAGUUGUCGGGCAGAGGAUCCUCAUCGUUUACUGUGAAAAAAUUAGAGUGUUCAAAGCAGGCUUAUGCCGUUGAAUAUAUUAGCAUGGAAUAAUAAGACAGGACUUUGGUACUAUUUUGUUGGUUUGCGCACCAAAGUAAUGAUUAAUAGGGACAGUUGGGGGUAUUCGUAUUCCGUUGUCAGAGGUGAAAUUCUUGGAUUUACGGAAGACGAACUACUGCGAAAGCAUUUACCAAGGAUGUUUUCAUUAA